GUCCCCGAGGUGGAAAGAGCUGUCAAAACAGAAGCAGAACUCCUGCGUUGUCCUGAUAGUGAAGGGAGAUUCGCAGGUUGUGUGGGAAACCCACAGGCGUUUAUUUCAUUUUCUUCAUGCUUCUAAUUUUAAUUUCAUUUCAAUCCAACGUGUGUGGAAUAAUUGUGGUUUAGAGCAAUGUAGUCUUGGGAACCUCAGGGCUAUACUUAAUGUCCAAGUUUAGGGUUUGGCCAAACAUAGCCUACCUGGAAAUGGUCCUUUAUUUAUCAGUAUCGGAAAUAGAAGCUGAGUCACAGAAGUGACAGAAACGCACCCGGUGCCGGUCUCAUGCCCCCUCCGUCCCCGGGGUGCUGGUGAGCCUGGCCUUUGCCUGCUCAGGCCUUGCAAUCUCCUCUCCGUUGAGAUCCAACCACCUUGCCCUGCGACGAUGCCCCUCACCCUGGCACUUCUCGAGGUGUCGCCCAGGCUGUCGGCGUCUACAUGUCUGUGAUUGAUGUUCAGAGUGGAGUGGCAGGGCAUUCCAGCAACGAACGUGUCAGCAGCUCCGCUCACUCUUCUAAACAUGGAUUUGCAAGGAGCUCCCUCUGCAGAAGAAGAUUCUGCUUAAACAAAAUGCAGUCCCAUAUCCUGGGGGCACCUCACCUUUUCGCUGAUUCAACUAUGCUUAUGUAUGCUUAUGAUUUCUUUUCUAAUUUUGCUGGUGUAGAGAUGGCCUAUUUCCCAAGGGCAAUUCGCACUGUCAUUUACAGAGCUACGUUGUCUUCAGGAAUAACCGUGAGAGGCAAAAUUGCCUCACAGAAUGAGGGGGGAAGGUGGGGUGUGGCAGAUACAGACACUACCCAGAUCCCCCUUCCAGAAAGGGCUCCCUGCCCAGCUACUGGGAUGGUAGCUGGCUCACAGCCUCCUCUGUGAGCAACGGUGGAGCCAAAGCCACACUCCGUUCUGAGUGGCCCCAGUCAAUAAAUGAACAGGGCUGUGGAAUAGAGACCUGGCCGUUUCCGCCCAAGAAUGACUUGGAGCCAACAGGUGAUCUUGCUCUGGAACAACCUUCUGGGCCAACAGUGACAGUGUCCCGAUCCGGUGGCGUCCUCAUGACCAUGCCUGCUUCCCCCCAUUUUCUCACGGGUGCUACUCUCCCUGCCAAAGCUUAUGCACGCCAAACUCUGUCUCAGCAUCUCCUCCCCAGAGAACUAGAGGCUGGGGGGUGGGGGAAGGAGGACGCAAUGAGAACCAAAUACAGAUGGCAACGUUCUCUUAGAUUCCGAAGUCUACAGCUCCCAGUGCCUGGGCGUGACUAGCCUCUGGGGAGCCUCGGAGUUAUUGCUGGGGCUCGGCAAACACGCACACUGUGGCCUGAAUACAUCGUAUGUUUACAUAUUUUGAAUAAUAUAUGUGCUGUUUUCAAAUACAUGAAUGCAAUACACUAAAACUUACUUUUUUAAAUAGUGCAUUUUUAGAUCACUGGACUGGAGUUCCACACACGUGCACGCACACACACACAUCAAGGGAAAGUUUUUCACUGGAGAGGAGUCCUCGUGGAAAGGGCUGAGAGAUACUGUUUUGGAAGAUGCGACCCUCUCAACUGGGAAUUUCUCAUUUAACUUCUAAGUAAACUUUGAGAAAAUCUGCCUGAUGCUGUGGUUGAGCAGCUCUAGGCUGACAAAUAUCGAUAGCUGAGGUGUACGAGACUGGCCGAUUUAGAGGGGAAUGGGGUAUCGUGUGGCCUUUUGGUAUAAUCUCAAGCCCCCUGAAAACGUGCUUGUGUCCUACUGACCUGGGACCUUGAUCCUCCUGUUCACGGAGACAACGAGGCAAAAAGUAUUUGGCUUGGGUUAAGCAUGUCUGUUUGUUUUGGGACAAUCACCGCGCCCUAACAUACAGUAGUCAUCGUUCAAGAACAGGUGCCAUGUGGCUUUGGAUUGAGAUUUGGCUAAAAUCCUACACCUGCAAAACACCAGCCAUCCCGUCCCACACAGAAUACGGAGACUCAUUCUGCCAAAGGAGCAUAGCUUGUCCAAAGUCACACAGAUCAGGAGGAAGAGCUUAGGGGUCGAUGGCGUGGUGCCGACCCUGACUCCUUUCCUGUCCUAUCUGCUUGCACGUGGGAACGAUGCCCCAAGUGAAGGAAAAAUGUCACAAGGACAGCUACCGCAACGACGGGUGUUCAUGCACGCCAUUCACAGGCCUCCUCUACGCACCUCAUUGUAAUGUGAGGCGUUGCCCGUGUUUUGGAAAUUCUUUGCCAGUGUCAUUGUAAUGGCUUUAUAACAUGGAAGCAGGCCCUGGCAUUGGACAUGAAGUAUUGCAAGGAGUGCCUUGACGGACAUCUUUGUGCGUAAACCGGAGCACCAUCUGCCCAAGAAGAGGCCAGCCUUGCCACCUGUUGGGUGUGAGGUCUCUGCACCGUCCCUGGCUCUCUCUGUUAAAAAGCAGUUCUUAAUUGAACAAAGCCUAAUGAUUCAUUUCAGAGGUUAUUUCAGCCCAAUUUUUCUUCAC